AACUGAUCAGUGGAUUGAGCAGGAUAUCUGGAGAGAGAGUGGGAAGUGACAUGUUGGGGGAGUUGGCAUUGCAGCUCAGCCUGCCGCUUGGUGUGAAAGGCCCGGCUCCAGAGCACCAUGUACUUUUGCGGGACAAAGCGGGAGAGAGAGGGGCAGACAAAGAGAGACAGGAAGAAGGAGAAGAGAC